AGGCUCCCAAUUCUUACCUACAGGCUGUGUUCUUUACACUGACUGUAUAAAAAGAGGAAGUUCAGUAAAUGCACCCCAUAUAUACCUCAACACAGGCCCUUUGCCUGGUCUUUAUUGUAAAUUUGGGGACCAAA